rnacentral:rRNA from 1 species
AUUGAACGCUGGCGGCAUGCCUUACACAUGCAAGUCGAACGGCAGCGGACCUUCGGGUGCCGGCGAGUGGCGAACGGGUGAGUAAUAUAUCGGAACGUACCUUUCAGUGGGGGAUAACGUAGCGAAAGUUACGCUAAUACCGCAUAUUCUGUGAGCAGGAAAGCAGGGGAUCGCAAGACCUUGCGCUGAUUGAGCGGCCGAUAUCAGAUUAGCUAGUUGGUGAGGUAAAGGCUCACCAAGGCGACGAUCUGUAGCGGGUCUGAGAGGAUGAUCCGCCACACUGGAACUGAGACACGGUCCAGACUCCUACGGGAGGCAGCAGUGGGGAAUUUUGGACAAUGGGCGCAAGCCUGAUCCAGCCAUGCCGCGUGAGUGAAGAAGGCCUGUUGU